rnacentral:lncRNA from 1 species
GGAGAUUUUAUCGCUUUCUAUUUUUCUUUUCUAUUUUCAGUUAGAUUGUUUAUUUUUAUUGCUUUUUAGUUGUUUACUUUAUUUCAUUUUGCUUUUAGUUUGAGUGUUUUAGAUAAUGCAUGAGUCUGACGAGUCACCAGUAUAGUGUAUCUUUAGUACAGUCUAAUCUCCCCAUUCCUUUAGCCCUACCAAAAAUUUUUUUGCAAAAGAAAACAGUGUUAUUCUGAAAGUUUUUGAGUUUUAAAGACGGGUUUGAGUAAGGAUGUGGUGACUUGGGAGAAC